CUUAGUUUAGUUAAAAUCGAUAUUUUUUACCUUUAGUCAAAUCCUAAAUUUAUUAGCUGGGUGUAAGGCAUUUAAGGAUAGCUUUAAAAGUCUAUGUGUGAUUUGAAUGCAACAAAUUAUUUUAAUUUUAAACAACCAUAAAUAUAACUAAUUAAAAUAAAUAAAAUCGGGGAUUGUCGAAUUUUUCUUAAAUUCUCUGAUUGAAGUAAACAGCAGCCAUAUACUUUAAGUUUUUAAAUACUACUUUUAAUAGGAUAGUACUUAGGAGCUAAUCUAAUUUCAGUAAUUAAUUUUGUCUUUUAUUCACUAGCUUUAAAUUUAUUAUAUUGAACUAUAAAAUUAAUAAGUUAGUUAAAUAUAAGUAUAACUUUAAUUGUGACAAAGUA
rnacentral:rRNA from 1 species